rnacentral:rRNA from 1 species
AACGAACGCUGGCGGCAUGCCUAAUACAUGCCAGUCGAACGAGAUCUUCGGAUCUAGUGGCGCACGGGUGCGUAACGCGUGGGAAUCUGCCCUUGGGUUCGGAAUAACUUCUGGAAACGGAAGCUAAUACCGGAUGAUGACGUAAGUCCAAAGAUUUAUCGCCCAAGGAUGAGCCCGCGUAGGAUUAGCUAGUUGGUGGGGUAAAGGCCCACCAAGGCGACGAUCCUUAGCUGGUCUGAGAGGAUGAUCAGCCACACUGGGACUGAGACACGGCCCAGACUCCUACGGGAGGCAGCAGUAGGGAAUAUUGGACAAUGGGGGAAACCCUGAUCCAGCAAUGCCGCGUGAGUGAUGAAGGCCUUAGGGUUGUAAAGCUCUUUUACCCGGGAUGAUAAUGACAGUACCGGGAGAAUAAGCUCCGGCUAACUCCGUG